GGGGAUUUAGCUCAGCCGCGUAAGUACCUGCCUUGCAAGCAGGCAGUCAUGAGUUCAAUCCCCA
rnacentral:tRNA from 1 species